rnacentral:miRNA from 1 species
CGAUGAUGAUUGUGAUGAUGAUGAUGAUGGAAAAGAAAGAAAAAGUGACAGAUCAUCCAUGAUUGAUGAUACAGCAUCAUCAUCAUCAUCAUUUCAG